GAUGAUACUUUUAUUCAACACUACACUAUAUAGUACAUAAUGCAAGUCAUACAGAACUACAGAAUAUGAAAAAUAUUAGCAACAACCUUUCUGAAUAUGGAUUACUAGCAGCAAAUGACCCAAAAUAGGAAUCAGAAAGGGUAAACAAAUUCAUGGUGAAAUGUGGUGAAAAAAAAAUAAAUAUAUGAUUUAUUUCAUGGGGCAUCACCCAAAAGAACUUUAUAAAACCGUUUUCUUUCCUCAGGGUUGAACAAACCCCCUACAUCUCCAGUAUCAUCUUGUUCUGACACUUCAAUGCUAUUACCCUUCCUUUUCUCGGAUCUUACAGAAAUCAUUCCUUUCUUCUUCAUUUUUUCUAGAUUGAGUAAACGGUGCCUUUGAUUAUACUCAUGAAGUCCCUCCUGCAUUAAUUCCCCAAAUUUAUCCUUCACCAGAACAAGUGGAUCCUUGUCAAUCAAUUCUGCCCCAUUAUAUCCUUCUCUUAGAAGAACCGUAUAAAUCUGAUACUUAUUUGAGACGUAAAAGAUGCCAGGAUGCUUGAGCAGCAAAACAUUCAAUUUCUCUGGUAAACUGAACUCUCUUCUAAAAUGACCAAGCUUCACAAUUGAUAACUUCUUCCAUAAAGUCAGCGAGAGCAGCUCAUGUACUAAACCAAUAGUUCUUUUCUCCAUCUCUUUUGAACCUUCCAGUAAACCUCUUGGAUCCACGUAAGGUGAAAUAUAAGGAGUAGAAUUAAAUUCACAAAAUCUCUCCCAUGAUUUAACCCAAGUUGAAGGCAAUGUGCAUGCAAAACACGGCUCGCAACCCUGCUUUUGAGCUGAUGCUUCAAUUGCAGAAAUUGCAAAUUCUGGAUACCAUGACACAAGCUCAAUCUCCAUUGAGCUCCUUCUCCCACUAUGGUUAAUAAGUCGAAACAUAUCAGGAUACUUUGGUAGAAUUCUAAUCAAAUAAUCAUCUGGAAAUCCAAAAUUUCUUUUCAGCUCAUUAAGUUUGACAACAUUAAGUCGUUGAUUCAUGCUCA
rnacentral:misc_RNA from 1 species